UAAAAACUCAAUGUGUAUACUUUCCUUUUCUCUUCAAUAGUAUAUAGUUUUAAUAGUCCUAUUUCAAAAUUGAUCGACUAUAAUUUAUUAAUGACAUUUAAUUUAAUAAUAUUGAAAUUAUUUUAUCAAUUGAAAAUAAAUAAAUUUUGAUCACCUAUAAAACAUAAAAUUAAUCAUUUUGAUUAACGGACGCCAGGCUAAGGAUUUAUCAGUUGUCUAGUUGAGGAGCUCUUUCCAGGGCCAGGGGUGAACCUAACCCUGAAAUCAAUAGAUUUGGGAAGGGGAACUGGGG
rnacentral:misc_RNA from 1 species